rnacentral:rRNA from 1 species
ACGGUACCGGCAUAAGAAGCACCGGCUAACUACGUGCCAGCAGCCGCGGUAAUACGUAGGGUGCGAGCGUUAAUCGGAAUUACUGGGCGUAAAGCGUGCGCAGGCGGUUUUUUAAGACAGGCGUGAAAUCCCCGGGCUCAACCUGGGAACUGCGCUUGUGACUGGAAGGCUAGAGUAUGGCAGAGGGGGGUGGAAUUCCACGUGUAGCAGUGAAAUGCGUAGAGAUGUGGAGGAACACCAAUGGCGAAGGCAGCCCCCUGGGCCAAUACUGACGCUCAUGCACGAAAGCGUGGGUAGCAAACAGGAUUAGAUACCCUGGUAGUCCACGCCCUAAACGAUGCCAACUAGGUGUUGGGUGGGUAAAACCAUUUAGUACCGGAGCUAACGCGUGAAGUUGACCGCCUGGGGAGUACGGCCGCAAGGUUAAAACUCAAAGGAAUUGACGGGGACCCGCACAAGCGGUGGAUGAUGUGGAUUAAUUCGAUGCAACGCGAAAAACCUUACCUACCCUUGACAUGUCCAGGAGCCUGAAGAGAUUUGGGUGUGCCCGAAAG